CAAGCCUGCCUAGGAGGGGCUGGGGGCUGGAGGAGGUGGCUGUGUUUUCUUUUCUUCCUUAAUUUCACUGAAUAAAGCAGGGGUUAAGUGGGAAGGCUCAGAGGCCUCUCUGGAGCUGGAGAAAUCUUGAUGAAAAAUGGUUAGGAAGACAAAAUAAGUGUGUCCACUGGAGGUUGUGAAGGACUCCAUGUCCUCGUCGGAGAUCUCCCCCAGACUCUCUUCCUGGGCUUCAGCCUAUGCAGAAGAAGAGACUUUAGACUUGACAUCAUCAGACAGACCUGGGGAUCCAACCACAGGAUCCUUGAUAUCAAAGUUGUAAACCUGUGGGCUGAAUCUUGCCUGUAAUUAUUUUUUGCCCAACAUAGUGCUUUCAAAAUCGGGAAAUUCUACAAAGAAUUUGGAUUUUGGAUUUCUCUUAAAAAUCAGAAAAUCUGGCAAUUCUGAGUCUCCAUUCCCACAUGGCAUUAUUGGCUGGAGCUGAGUAAUGACUGCACAGGUGCCUUAGACUAAAUGAUUCCUCACCGGACUCAUCCAUCUCGUCACUCAGUACAGACUGCUCCUGCUGGCUCACUGCCGUCUCCUCGGUUAAGGAAGACUCAGAUUCGUGGUCAUCUUCUUCUGCCUCUUCUGCC